UACAGAGGGAUGCUACCGGGCGACCGGAUGCGGAUCUCGAAAGCCUGUCCCAGUUCGGACUGGAGUCUGCAACCCGACUCCACGAAGUUGGAUUCGCUAGUAAUCGCGCAUCAGCCGUGGCGCGGUGAAUACGUUCCCGGGCCUUGUACACACCGCCCGUCAAGCCAUGGGAGCCGGGGGCGCCUGAAGUCCGGGACCGCGAGGACCGGCCUAGGGCGAAACUGGUAACUGGGGCUAAGUCGUAACAAGGUAUC
rnacentral:rRNA from 1 species